rnacentral:rRNA from 1 species
UGGUUGAUCCUGCCAGUAGUCAUAUGCUUGUCUCAAAGAUUAAGCCAUGCAUUGUCUCAGUACUUGCUUUAACAAGGCGAAACCGCGAAUGGCUCAUUAAAUCAGUUAUGGUUCACUAGAUCGUAUGAAUUACAUGGAUAACUGUGGUAAUUCUAGAGCUAAUACAUGCAUCCAGCUCGGCUGCCUUGUGCAGCGAGCGCAGUUAUUAGAACAAAACCAAUCCGGCUUCUGUCGGUAAAUUGGUGACUCUGAAUAACCGAAGCGGAGCGCUAAGGUCUCGUACCGGCGCCAGAUCUUUCAAGUGUCUGACCUAUCAGCUUGUUGCGAGGUUAUGUUCCUCGCAUGGCUGUUACGGGUGACGGGGAAUCAGGGUCCGAUUCCGGAGAGGGAGCCUGAGAAACGGCUACCACAUCCAAGGAAGGCAGCAGGCGCGCAAAUUACCCACUCCCGGCACGGGGAGGUAGUGACGAAAAAUAACGAUGCGAGAGCUUUUAGCUUUUAGUAAUCGGAAUGGGUACACUUUAAAUCCUUUAACGAGGAUCUAUUGGAGGGCAAGUCUGGUGCCAGCAGCCGCGGUAAUUCCAGCUCCAAUAGCGUAUAUUAAAGUUGCUGCGGUUAAAAAGCUCGUAGUUGGAUCCGGGCAGUCGACGCGCGGUGCGCUUUACGGCGUUACUGCGUGCUCGUCGCCACUAUCCGGCCUUGUCUUUCAUGUUCUUUACUGAGCGUGAUCGGCGACCGGGACGUUUACUUUGAAAAAAUUAGAGUGCUUAAAGCAGGCAUAUGGCCUUGCAUAAUGGUGCAUGGAAUAAUGGAAUAGGACCUCGGUUCUAUUUUGUUGGUUUUCGGAGCUCGAGGUAAUGAUUAAGAGGAACAGACGGGGACAUUCGUAUUGCGGCGUUAGAGGUGAAAUUCUUGGAUCGUCGCAAGACGAACUACUGCGAAAGCAUUUGUCAAGAAUGUUUUCAUUAAUCAAGAACGAAAGUUAGAGGUUCGAAGGCGAUCAGAUACCGCCCUAGUUCUAACCAUAAACGAUGCCAACCAGCGAUCCGUCGGUGUUCAUUCAAUGACUCGACGGGCAGCUUCCGGGAAACCAAAGUGCUUAGGUUCCGGGGGAAGUAUGGUUGCAAAGCUGAAACUUAAAGGAAUUGACGGAAGGGCACCACCAGGAGUGGAGCCUGCGGCUUAAUUUGACCCAACACGGGAAAACUUACCCGGCCCGGACACUGUAGGGAUUGACAGAUUGAGAGCUCUUUCUUGAUUCGGUGGUUGGUGGUGCAUGGCCGUUCUUAGUUGGUGGAGCGAUUUGUCUGGUUAAUUCCGAUAACGAACGAGACUCUAGCCU